AUCAACAUUACCUUUAUUCAACAUGCUGUCACUGCAGCAUUGUGUGUUUUCUCUGAUGUUUCUUUCCAUCCUCACAGGUGUCAGCUGUGAAGAACUCACUCCAGUAGAGAAAGAAGAGAACAGUUUAGAAGGCAGCUCUGUUACUCUGUCCUACAGAUACUUGGAAUUGUCAUCUAGUGAUUAUUUCUUCUGGUACCGACAAUAUCCAGGAAAACCACCAGAGUUCAUCAUCUCCCACUCUGCUUCAGGACAAUUGUUUUUUGGAGGAGAAGUAAAUGAUGUAAUCCCUGGACUGAAGUUUGAAGUGGAGGGCAAACAAAUCCACAUGAACAUCUCCUCAGCUAAGGUGUCUGACUCUGCUGUGUACUACUGUGCUGUCAAGUAA